UGCGCCUCCCCCCGCUCCUGGAACACGAGGGUCAGCGCACAGGGUGUCCUCGUGUGGCAGAGGGGUGGCCACGGCCGGGGGCAGCCAGCCACGUCCCGAGCCCCGCGGGCUAGUGUGUCACGUGGUCGCCUCAUCUGGGCUGCGGUGGCUGCUGAGGAGCUAAUUAGCCGCAGUAAUUAGGGAGAGAGAGCCCUCGCCAUGUGGAAGGGACCGGCAAGCCCCUGCUGGAUGGCGGAGCCCGGGGUGGCUCGGGGGAGGAGGGAGGCUGGGGAAGGAAGCCACCUCUCCCCGGGGACCUCUGGCCCCGCAGGGUGGGCUCUUCUUCCCCCUGUUUCUCGGGGUUGCUGUACUGGUGGCAGGCGGUUCAGCGGCUUGUGGCCUCUCCAUCCCUCGGUGACACAGAGACUCUAACGGAGCAGACGGUUCCAGACUCGGAGAGCAGGUAUGUAAACAGAGUGGAAGGACCAAGGCCCCUGGGAGUCUCCUCAGCAAGGAUUCUACACCUGGAUCCCACAGGCAAGGGAAACAGGAACCAGGUCUCUGUCUCUUUUGGUGUCAGGCAUCACUGAAAAGCACCAGUCAGAGGUAAUGAGCAGGCGGAGAGAUGGUCCAGAGAAGGGGGCAUCAGAGAGCAGGCAGCUGCAGAGGUGGAGGAGGGCAGACCAGGUGGGCCCUCAGGAAGGCCAGACCAAAGAACGGGAGAGGAAAAGAGUGGGCGAGGGUCGGGGAAGGGCCUGGUGAGACUGGCCUGGGGGCCGUGAGUCAGGGAAGAACGGUGGAGAAAACUAAGAGUCUCAGCCGGACGCGGUGACGCACACCUGUCAUCCCAGCGCUCAGGAGGCUGAGGCAGGAGGAUGGUGAGUUCAAAGCCAGCCUCAGCAACUCAGCGAGGUCCUAAGCAACUCAGCGAGACCCUGUCUCUGAAUAAAAUCCAAGAAUCUCACAGAGAACGAGGCUCCUUCAAGUGGCUGUUCUCAAGGUCAAGGUCAUGGUGCUGGGUACCCCAGGUGCUCCAGAGGGGUGAAGUCCCUCUCCAGUGCUUCUUCGAGGCUCAUUCAGUGGAUGCUUCCUAUGCACCCGGCCUGGGUGCUGGGGUGUGGUGAGAGGCCUGGUUCCUGCUCCGUGACCCUUUCCAUCUGGCGGGAGAGGCCGUGUGGCUGGUCCAGCGGCUCUGGGCUGGCCCCAGGAGGGUUGGGCUCUGGUCUAUGCCUCCCCACAGUUAUCCUGAGGAGGCCGUGUCCUGUCUCAGCUCACCCCGUUGUUCAUUUGCCACUUCUCCCUGGCCACCCUGCUUCUCCCUGCUCUGGGGGCUCCUUUCUGCUCCCCUACCAGUGGCUCUUUGAUGACAGGGACUGUGUCUGCCUUUCCCUGCUUUUGCUUCUGUUGCUUAACCCAGCGCUGGGCUCUUCGCUACUCAUUGGGGCAGAAUAAGUGAAUAAACGGAAGUUCGGCCCUGGUGGGUCACAGCUUGUAGAAGACCCUUUUUGGCAGGUAUUUCUCAGAAUCCAUGGUCAAGACUACUGAUCAGGAUUCCAGGAAGCCUGGGUUCGUACUCUGACUCUAACAUUUUUCAGUCAUUUGAUCCUGAGUCAUCCCUUUACCACCCUGACCCUCAGUAUCUUCAUCUGGAACAUGGCGGUCAUCAGUGAGCCUGCUACAGGGCAUCGUGUCAAGGAUGAAAUAAGAUAGCACUGAAGUCUGAUGCUCAGAGCUUUUUGACGUUAGGUAUUGAAUAUUAUUUUUUACUAUUAUCAGUGUUUCCAAAUAGCACAGUGAGGAUGCCUUGGGUGGGCAGAAGCACUGUAGGAAAACCUCAACUAGUGAAGUGGGGGCGGGAGGAGGACCAGGCCUUGGAGCACCACCCAGGCCCGUCUUUUGCGGGUCCCGGGCGAUGAAGAAAUCAGUACCUCUGCGCUCUGAGUUAAUUAGCUUGGAGAUAUUGCCCUAUCGAUCACUCACUCCGGGGCUGCCAACCGGGGGACGUGCACAUCACCCCUCGCUGAUGGGAAACGAAGGCGGACAUUGACCUGUUUGUCCAAGCCCCGCGGGGGAGCCCCGGGAACCCCCUCCUCAAACCCACACUUGAGUUUGGUUGGAUCCGUCUUGCGCAGCCUCAGCCGCCAGCGGCCUCGCCCCUCCGGCUCCCAGGCCCCUCCCGUGGCCGCUUUUCCAAUUGAAUUACCUUUAAUAUUUUUUUGAUGGAAAAAGUGUUCGCUUUAUCUCUGGUGCUAACUGCCCUAAUUGUUUCCUCCAACUCGGGUAAUACCUCAUUAAUUUAGCAGCUGCUGAGUCUGCAGGAGAAGCCGCGGCUGGAGACGCCCCCUCCCCACUCUCCCACAGCUGCGAGGCUGGGCCUGAGGCCCCCCCCCCUUAACUUGGGGCUCCCUAGGGCGCCCUCUCCCUCAUCCUCUGUUCCUUUCCUGGGAAGAGAAUUCACAUCAGCUUAAGCCCCCUGUAGGAGCUGGGAGGAAAGAAUGCUCCACAGCGGCCCAGAGAGGGCCUCUGGGGUUCAGCUGCGCUCUGACGUCCCCCCAUGUCCGGCUUGCACAGGAGCCACGAAUCCAGGGCUUCCCCGUGAGUCCCACUUAUGGAAACUUCCACUCCCUCCCAAUAGUUCCAUCCUAGGGACUAAGACUUUCAUACGUGAGCCUCUGAGUGACAUUCAAGACCAGACCGUAAGCCAGGCAUGGUGGCGCGUGCCUGUGAUCCCAGCUACUUGAGAGGCUGAGGCAGGAGGAUCGUAAGUUUGAGGUCAGCCUCUACAACUGAGCCAGACUCUGUCUCAAAAGAGAAAAUAAAAAGGGCUGGGGAUGUGGCUCAGUGGUAGAGCCCCCUGGGUUCCAUCCCCAGCACCACAGCAAGAAAAGAAAGGAAGGAAGAUCCAGACGGUCUCAGAGUACCCUUGAUUCCUCAUCCAGCUGCUAACCUCAGUAUCCAGGAGACCGCCAAAGAGCCCCAUGUGGCUGAACCCUGCAGUGUCAUCUCCAGGUUUGUCCCUCGAAGCCCCCACUUGUUGACACUGGAAAAGUCGUCCAGUGUCCCCCUCUUCCCCCUAAAGGCAGAGAUGCCUGUUCUUCUGGAGGUGGAUGGAGACACAUAUGGAAGGAAGGGGUGCCUGGGCCAGUGCCGCGGGGACCAGCCCUCGUCCCGUGGCCGGUGUCUUGAAGGUGCUCCCGGCAGACGGUGGGGGCAGCGCAUGGUCAGCAUCUCCCGUGAGCACGCGGCAGGGAGCCUGGAAGUGACACUCCCUCCUUUGCAAGGGUCCCCACGUGCCACUUGCCCCCUGCCACCGGGUGCUCCCACUCUUCCUGGUGACCCCCAGGACCCAGUGUCCCCUUGGCUGUCAUUUGCUGCUGCAGGGCAGAGGGAGGCUUUGGGGAGGCGCCUCUGCCUGGCUGGACGGCCACUCCACUCUGCUCUUCAAGGCGUCCCCGGGUCCUUGGAUUUGAUUAGGUGAUGUCAGCGAUUCUCAGAGUGGGACUCUCGGGGAGCUUCAAGGCCCUUUCGGGAGACUCUCAAGUUCAAAGCUAUUUUUGCCAUAAUGUGAAGAGAGUCUCUGGAUUUUUCUUUCUCAGGGCACAAUAGCAUCUCGGAAGGAGUUUUGUAUCAAAUAUGAUUCCUGCUGCAUGGGUCAAAUAUUUCGCAGAGCCUCUGGGACGUGGAUGGAGGCCUUGCUUUGACGGUAACUGGAUGUGUGCUUAAGGGCCUGGCCAAGUUGCUCACGGAGAGCGCCUUAUGAUGCAUCUCAAAAAAGCAACCGAGGCCUCUCAAUCACCCAGUGCAUUUUGGAAGGAAAAAACAGAUAUCAAAAGAGGAGAAGUGCGCAACGGUGAUGGCGGAGAGCGGACCCGUCACUCUUUACAGCAACAUGGACCACGGUGUUUGGGAAACAGCAGCUACGCCCCCAGACAGAUAGGCGCUCUGACACGUCUUGCCAGAGAAGAACCGCCCGCCCCACCCCAGCGCGAGCUCCCACCCUCCCCACGGAUCACAAGGGAGGACAGAAUCACAAACAGGUCAAUCAGGCGGAGAACAGCCUCACUGAAGAUUUGGGGCUUGAGAGGGAUCAACAGAACGCGAUUCCAGGUGACCUUCUGCAGUCUCCGCCCACCUGCUGGCUGGGUGUCAACACACAGGACAGCUCCAGAGUGCUACUUACUGAAACCGGCAGAGCCACCAGGAGCCUGGGGUGCUGAAGGAACAGGUGGCACCGAGCUCUGCCCACAAUCCUCUGCUGCCCUGAGCCUGCGCGCCCCAGCAAGGGGGUGGGAUCAGGCUGCGGCGUGUCCUGAGCCCAAGACAUGCAGACGCCAUAACCCGCACUAGGGACAUAAAGUCCAUUCAAAAACUUCCUGCCACUUACGGUGGAGCGCCAGAAAUGUGGGCCACGGCCCUGGGGCUGUAGAGAUAGGCCAGUAGUCAGUCAGUCAUCGAUUAUUUCCAGAAACAUCCAUUAGGUAAUUAGAAUGUCCCAGUCUUGGGAGUGAAGCUCCCAAAACCAUUCAUUUAAACAUUGAUCAAGUUUCUACCAAGUGACAGACACUGGGUUCCGCGGUUCCCGUCCUCACGGGUUUGUGCUUUGGUGGAAAAGCCAGGGUAGGAGAGGUUCCUGUAGAACACUUUAUGAGAUUCUGCAGCGACACACAAGAAAUGGCAUCUGCUUGAGGCUCAGGAGAAGCGGGGAGCAGGGCAGCCUUCCAACAAGGGGUGGCUCUGAGGGAUGGAUAGGAGUUUCCCAGGCAGAGAAUGGGUGGAAGGGAAAUGGAGGCAGAGGGAACAGCAUGUGCAAGGGGAUCCAUGAGAAAUUUGUUGUGGGUGGACCUGGGGACAUGUCGCAGGGAUAGAGUCAGAGGAGCGGGGCUCAGCUGGGCUCGGGGCAGGUGCUCUUGUCUUUCUGUGUUCCUGGAAUGAGCCAGCAGGGGUCAGGGGCUGCAGGCCAUUUCAUCCUGGAGGGAGAGAGGAGAGGCCCGCUGUCUGCUUCCACCUGUCCCCCUCAGGGUGGGGGCUGUCUUAUUCCUCUCUUUCAGCUGAGACCUGUAGUGGAGGUGUCACCAUGUCACGCGACUCCACCCAUGUCCCCUUUCAUGAGGGAGCAACCUGAGGACCGAGAGGCAGGAAAACAGCACAGAGUCCCUGAGACAGGAGGUGCUUGGAACUUGUGAACAACAGGGGAGAACUGAGGGUGGCUGGAGCACAGAGAGGUGAAGCCAUUUGUCUGGGAUCACACAGCACAGUGGCACACUGAGCCUGCCACAUCCCACGGAGGCAGGUGAUUGAAUAUGGAUUCCUUCGCCCAGUGUUCUGGACCUCCUGUGAAAAAAAAUCAGGUUUGUGUUCCAAAAUGUGAAGAAAAAAAAAAAGAACUCUUCUCCCAUCUGGAGCUUAGGUGGAUAUUUCACAAAAGUCUCGAGUCUGAGGUUGGAAUUUUGGAGCCAUGGAUAGCUACAUCCCAGAGAAAGAGUUUGGGGUCACAGUGACUGGCAUGGAGAAGCUACAGGGGACAUCUGAGGGUGCCAGUGAUCUGUGUGGGGCCAUAGGUCACCCCCAGCCAGCCCUGCAGAGAGGAUGCCAGAAUGGGCCUCCUGCCCCACCUUUAAAAGGCAGAGAAGCUGAGCCUCCAUCCGCUGGAAAUGCAAGAGGAAAACAAUGGAAACCAAAGUGGAAUUUGGGAUGCUGUCUCCUGGAGGCCUGGUCUACCCCAGGCUGGGGAAGGGUGGUCUGACCCACCGUCUGUCUGUAGGGUCAGAUGGGCCAGGGUCAGGGCGAUGGUGGACAUUGGAACCAUGACCUACUCACCUGCAAAGACCUGAGAGCCUACUGUGCACCUGUGUUAGACCACAGCACCUGAGCAGGACAACCCAGAGGAAGGAAAGGUAGCUUUGGGCUCACGGUUUCCGGGUCUCAGCCCCGGGGUGGGCCAACCCCGUUGCUCUGGCCUGAGGUGAGGCAGGACAUCAUGGCAGAAGAGGGUGGCGGAGAAGAGCCACUCGGCCCAUGGCAGCCAAGGAGCGGGGGGCAGGGAAGGAGCCAGGGGAAGAUGUCCCCUCCCAGGGCACAGUCCCAUGCUCCUCCAUUCUAAUCAUUAACUCACCAGAUGGAUGAAGCCACGACUCUCAGAGUCCUCUCACCUCGGAACAUUUCUGGGUCACUCCUGGAGCUUUGGUGGGACACCUCAUACCCAGACCCUAAGAGAGUCCAGCACCAAACUGGACACCGGGACAGAACCACAAAGACCCGGAGGAGUCUGCGCCCAUGGAACGUCCUGUUUUGUCUGGGGCCACAUUGACACUCCUUGCUGAGGACCUGCUAAGCACCCUCUCUACAAGGUGUGCCACAUUCACGUCCCUCCUGAUCCCCACAGCUGCCUCUGGAAUCGGCGCUCAGAAGGCCUAGUGGACAUCGCCGGUCACCAUCUACUACGGUUUAAUUGUGUCUUCCAGAAGUCCACGGGUUGGAAACAUCACCCCUAAAUGCACACGUUAGUGACAGUUGGCGGUUGGUCCUUUCUUCGGGAGGUAAUGAGGAUGCGAUGUCAUGAGGGUGGAGUCCUCAGAAUGGCUUUAGAAGGAAAGGAAGAGAGACUCAGGCUGGCACACUUGCUGUCUCUCCACAGAUGCCUUCCGCCAUCUUAGGAUGCAGCCAGAAGGCCCUCACCAGGUACCAGUGCCAUGCUCUUGGACUUUCCAGCUUCCAGAACCAUGAGCCAAAUGAAAUCAUCUUCUCUAUAAA